UUCAAUAAUUUAUAUAGAUAUUUAAAAUUAGUUAUUUUUUAUAUAUUUGCAUUCUUUAUAUGUAUAAUCUAUGAGCUCACCUAAUUUCUGUAGGUAUGCGCAGGUCGCAUAAAACAGUUAGGUGGGCCUCAUGUGGCCUGUGGGCCGUAAUUUGCACACCUCUGAUCUAGUAUAUCCGAUCCAUGUCUCUUAUCUAUGAGUAUAUGAUCUAUUUGAUUCUGGGUGUUAAAUCGAGUGAGAUCCAGGUUACCUUGUGAAUACUCUCAUGUUAAAAUUUAGUGUUGCAGAUAGACAUUCCUUUUCCUGAUGCAAAAUUCACUAAUCUUAUGCCAUUAUUGUUGGACUAUUCAUGUAAGCUUUCUUUGCCAAUUGUUGGUCUGUAUGCUGGUUCUUUUCCAAUUUUUGCAUUAAAAUCUCCUUGGAUUUAUUUUGAUGUCAUGCUUUGGUGCUUCAUCAUACAUUCUUUCCAGUCCAUCAUAGAAGGCUUCUUUUGUGUUACCAUCUGCAUCUUCAGUAGGGGUAUGGACAUUGAUGAAUAAUAUGUUGAAGAAUUUUCCUCUCAAACGUAGUGAGCAGAGUCUAUUACUUACAGUAUCUGCACUAUUCAACACAUUCAGAGAGGAAGCAGCAGCUCAAACUUCAACAUUUUUGAGUCUUUCAAUUUUGCUGUUGUCACGUUCUCCACUGUUGGCUAUGGAGAUGUUUCCUCUGACAUUUGGCUGGGCUGACUCUUAAUGAUUCUAACCAUUUCCCUGGCAUUUGUUUUUAUACCUAGCCAGAAUAGAGAUGUAAUUCUGCUGUGUCCCCGUGAGUUGGAAACCAGUAAGCAAGUCUUCUAAUAGAGGUCUGAUAGAGUCAUGUACAUCAAGGGAUCAGCACUAAAAGAUGUGGACCUGAUGUGGUGUCAAGCUGAUGAAGCUUUUGCUUGCUUCUUUUGGCUGUUCGUUUAACACAAGACAAAGUACAGACUAUUCUAGUGAAGAAAGCUACUGUCAGGAAGUACCAGAUGUAUGGUCACCUGUACGAAGACUUAUGUCGACAGGUAGGCAAGUACCAUUUGCUAUCUACAGAACCCAGUCAGUGGACAACCUAGAGGUAUAUGAUUCAAGUUCUUCUGGACAUAAAGCUGACCACAACAGUUAAACACAGAAAAGUGAAGACUGUGUGUGGAAGUUUGCCAGAGCCAAGCUUUGGAUUUCUUUCAUAGAGCAAGGGACAACACUCUCAAUACAUUUGAUAUCAUUCCAACACCUAUAGCUGUGGUGAGACUAUUUCAAGGUCUCAGGACUGUAUUUCUUAUCAAUCGGUAAUCAUGCAUCACGUGCCCUCAGAUAUGUACACAAAAUGAAGUUUGAGAAGAAAGAGAAAGGAUCAAGAUGAUUUACAAGACACUAAAGAAGUUAUCUAUCAACUAUACUCAAUGUAUGGACGACUUGCAGCCAGACUAGAAUUAUAGAGUAAGAUGUUUUUCUGCUGGCUAAACAUGUAUGGGUAUGUUUGUCUGUCUUUCAUUAUGUCUAUCUAAAAAAUAAUUGUUUUUGUUUGUAAUGUUGUUACAGUGCCUUGAGCUUACAUUUUGUUUGUUAACAGCGCUUUAUAAAUAAAAUUAUUAUUAUUAUUGUUAUUAUUAUGUAAUACCUAGGAUUCUUCAGUUGUAAUACCUAGGAUUCUUCUGUUGUAAUACCUAGGAUUCUUCUGUAGCAUCUCAAUUCCAUUGCUAGGAUCCUCCUCUCUAGCUCUGCAGUCAGCGUCCAAGACUCACAUCCAUCCAUCCAUCCCAGUGGCGCUACAGCCCAUGGAGGGCUCUGGCCUGCUUUAACACAUCCUUCCAUUCAGAUCUCUCCUGGGCCUUUCGUCUCCACGCCCUAACCCCAAGCUGCUUCAGAUCUGCUUCCACGUCAUCUAUCCAUCGCAUUCGGGGUCUGCCUUUGAGUCGCCUGCCUUUUGGUUUUUGCCUGUAUACGAUUUUCACCCCUCUGUUGUCUGACAUUCUUUCAAGGUGACCUGCCCAACGUAGUCUGUUCUUUUUUAUUUCGUUCACUUUUGGUGGGUCUUCAUACAAUAGAUAUAUCUCAUGGUUAGUGCGUGUCCUCCACCCUGUUUCAUCCUGUAUGGCACCAUAGAUUUUCCUAAGAAUUUUUCUUUCCCAAGUGUUAAGUAAAUUUUCAGAUGUCUUUGUCAGUGUCCAGGACUCACUUCCAUACAUUGCUGCUGGUCUUAUUAUAGUUUUGUAUAUUAUUUUCUUGGUUUUCCUUGAAAUCGUUUUCCUUGAAAGUUUGGAUGUUUUCAAAUUCGUGGUCUUUGAUUUUGAUAUUUUGUCCCUCUGUUUGAUUGUCUCUUGUCAUUGUAAUGUACUUGGUUUUACUGUCAUUGACCUCAAGUCCUGCUGGUCGAGAUGCUUCUUCUAGUUGUAUGAAGGCUCUAGCCAUGUCAGAGGUUUCUUUACCCAAUAGGGCAAUGUCAUCGGCAUAAGCAAGGUAUUGUAGAAAUUGGCUGUAUAUCAUCCCUGUUGGUUGUGGACCCGUGUUUUCUCUCCUGAAGUAGUUAGUAAUAGUUCCCCUUGUGUUUGUGUGUAUAUUUCUUAUAACUCUCUCCAGUGUUAAAUUCCAGUGAGUCUUCUCCUUGUAUUAUGACUUUGCUUUUUGAGUUGUUUAAUGUCAUAUGUAUAAGUCUUGUCAGCUUGUUGGGUAUUCCAAAAUCCUGUAGAGUGUCUUAUAGGUAUUUCCUUCUGAUAAGUCAUUUUAUAGUCUAUAAAGAGUUGGUGGAUUGGUAUGUUGUAUUCAUGGCAUUUUUCUAGUAUACAUCUUAGUGUGAAGAUGUGGUAGGUUGUGGAUUUGUUGGGUCUGAAACCACAUUGGUAGUCACCUAAGAUUUCUUCUGAAUAUUUUCCAAGUCUCUUAGUUAUAAGCCUAGACAGUAUCUUAUAAGUCACAUUUAGUAGAGAGAUUCCUCUGUAAUUACAGCACUUUAACUUGGAUCCUUUUUUGUGUAUUGGGGUUAUAAGAGCCGUUUCCCAUUCUGUUGGUAUUACUUCUUCUUCCCAAAUUCUUGACAUUAGUCUGUGUAUUUGGGAAUGUAAGUCUUUCCCUCCAUAUUUAAUUAGUUCUGCUGUGAUUUGGUCCUCUCCUGGUGCUUUGUGAUUCUUCAUGGUCCUAAUUAUUUCUGAUGUUUCAAUGAGUGUUGGAGGGUUCACUAAGGGAUCUGGUCCCCCAUGUGGCAGUUUAUAUUCUCCAUUAUCUCCAUCUUCAGUGGUAUUUAGGAUCUCCUCAAAGUAUUCAGCCCAUCUCUCAAUGACCCUGCUGUUUUCUGUAAUAUAGCAUGCUUUAUUAUUUCCCUAUGCUCAUUUAUGUUAUUUUCGCUGUCCUUUUCUAAUGUUGUCAGUUGCGUUUGGAGUGCCAUUCUAUAAGUUUCUGCAACAAGUGGAUCCUUUGUGAGUUUUUGACUAUCAUAUUGCUGUGCUCUCUUUCUUUGGUAAUUGUGUAUGGUACUUAUUCUUUGUCUAAGUUUAGCUUUUACUAGUAGGUGGUCUGAGUCAGCAUUAGCUGCUCUGAAACUUCUAACAUCUAGUAUGUCUGAUCCAUGAUUCUUAUCUAUGAGUAUAUGAUCUAUUUGAUUCUGGGUGUUGCUAUCAGGUGAGAUCCAGUUAACCUUGUGAAUAUUCUUAUGUUGGAAUUUUGUGCUGCUGAUAGACAUUCCUUUUCCACUAAUCUUAUGCCAUUAUUGUUGGUCUCUUCAUGUAAACUUUCUUUGCCAAUUAUUGGUCUGAAUGCUGGUUCCUUUCCAAUUUUUGCAUUGAAAUCUCCUAGGACUAUUUUGAUGUCAUGCUUUGGUGCUUCAUCAUAAAUUCUUUCCAGUUCAUCAUAGAAGGCUUCUUUUGUGUUAUCAUCUGCAUCUUCAGUAGGGGCAUGAACAUUGAUAAAUGAUAUGUUGAAGAAUUUUCCUUUCAAACGCAGUGAGCAGAGUUUAUCACUUACAGGUUUAAAUCCAAUGACAUUACCUACCAUUUCCUUUUUAACAGCAAAACCUGUACCUAAGUUGUUAGUGCUUCCACCACUAUAAAAUAUAGUAUACUCCUUGGUUCUGAGAAUGUCCGAGUCUUUCCACCUGAUUUCCUGUAGAGCUACAAGCGGUAUUCUAUAUUUCUUUAACACUUCAGUAAGUUGGGCUAGCGCACCUGCUCUAUAAGGCUUAGCACGUUCCAUGUCGCAAAACAAAAAUCAUGUCCUUUUCCAGGCCUAGGUCGUUUUCCGUUGUGGAGUUUUGAUCUCCCAUCGAGCGCCUCCCCAGGUGGUGGAUAGGGGAAUGCCCUCUAGAUAUGGUGGGUACCGGGGAAAUAAAAUACCCGGGGUGGACCAAAAUCAAACCUGCUGCCUUGCAGGAAGUGGAGGGAUCCACAAAGGCUAGGGCACUUUACCCGAAAAUAAAGGCAGCUAUCUAGAGAGCUGAAAGGGGCAGCCCCCCAGAUGGUUAUGCACAGGGCUAACAACUCUGUCAUACAAAAAAUACUGUUAUGAAAGCUAAUACACACAAGAAUUCCCCUAUCACUAAGACUUUAAACACAUUAUCUUUUAUUUGUCAGCUGAAUCCCUUCAUUAUCUCAUUAACAGUUGUUCUGAUAAAGAUGCAGACCAAGUUCUCUAAAUUAGAUCAGCAUACAGACUAAUGAAAUAAUCUCCUAUGAGUUACAGGCAAAACUUAAACUCUACAUAAAUUUUUUUUUCUUUUGGAUAAUAUUACAAACAGGAAUGGAAAAUAUGGCCAACAGAUCUUGUGUGGUGCCCCAAUGGUCCAACAACUAAGGGAUGGGUUAAUAUGAUAAUACAUAAUAGGUUAGCUAAAACUUACAGGUUAAUUCAGGAAAUUAAGUUAACUUUCUAAUUAUUAUUUUUUUUUGUACUAAAACUUUCUUUUUAAGUACUAAUUUGAUUAAACUAUUUAAAAAAUAGCUUUCAGUUCCAGUGUCUACACUAAUCUUCUUUGUCCAGGUCAUUAAUUGUAAAUGUU